rnacentral:rRNA from 1 species
UACGGGGGGAGCAAGCGUUGUUCGGAUUUACUGGGCGUAAAGGGCGCGUAGGCGGUCAGCACAAGUCAGUUGUGAAAUCUCCGGGCUUAACUCGGAAAGGUCAACUGAUACUGCGCGGCUAGAGUGCAGAAGGGGCAACUGGAAUUCUCGGUGUAGCGGUGAAAUGCGUAGAUAUCGAGAGGAACACCUGCGGCGAAGGCGGGUUGCUGGACCGACACUGACGCUGAGGCGCGAAAGCUAGGGGAGCAAACAGG